ACGUACACUCCUACGGGAGGCAGCAGUGGGGAAUAUUGGACAAUGGGCGCAAGCCUGAUCCAGCCAUGCCGCGUGAGUGAUGAAGGCCCUAGGGUUGUAAAGCUCUUUCACCGGAGAAGAUAAUGACGGUAUCCGGAGAAGAAGCCCCGGCUAACUUCGUGCUAGCAGCCGCGGUAAUACGAAGGGGGCUAGCGUUGUUCGGAAUUACUGGGCGUAAAGCGCACGUAGGCGGAGCGAUCAGUCAGGGGUGAAAUCCCAGGGCUCAACCCUGGAACUGCCUUUGAUACUGUCGAUCUGGAGUAUGGAAGAGGUGAGUGGAAUUCCGAGUGUAGAGGUGAAAUUCGUAGAUAUUCGGAGGAACACCAGUGGCGAAGGCGGCUCACUGGUCCAUUACUGACGCUGAGGUGCGAAAGCGUGGGGAGCAAACAGGAUUAGAAACCCCUGUAGUCCCAU
rnacentral:rRNA from 1 species